rnacentral:rRNA from 1 species
CUAGGAUUAGAUACCCUAUUAUCAGUUUAACAGUCCGUGUCGAAUAGACUUAACAACCCUAUAAAAACAUUAUACAUGGCAGUUCUCAAUCUAAUUAGAGAAGCAUGUCAAUUAAAAAUGACAAUGCACACAAAAUAUUUCUUUUCUUAGAAUAAUCAUUUUGUACACCGCUAUCUGAAAGAAGCUUUGUAAGAAGAUUCUUACUCCUUAGGGGGAAUAAGUUAAGUUAAGGUGCAGACUAUAGAAAAGAGUUGAUGUGCCUCAGUAUGAUAUAUAGAUUUGCACUUGAACAGUGCAAAGAAAUCGAAUUUAACAGUAAAAUUGGUUA